UCCGAUAAAGGCAAACCCAUCGUGAGAUGGGGACGCAAAGCCACGGGUCAGAAACUUCUGAUCGCCGGGUUACCGAAG
rnacentral:ncRNA from 1 species